AACGAACGCUGGCGGCAUGCUUAACACAUGCAAGUCGAACGAGAAAGUCCUUCGGGAUGAGUAGAGUGGCGCACGGGUGAGUAAUGCAUGGGAACGUGCCUAUAGGUUGGGAAUAACCAGACGAAAGUCUGGCUAAUACCGAAUAAUCUCGUAAGAGUAAAGUUGGCCUCUGUAUAUGCUAGCGCCUAUAGAUCGGCCCAUGUCCCAUUAGCUUGUUGGUGAGGUAACGGCUCACCAAGGCGACGAUGGGUAGCUGGUCUGAGAGGAUGAUCAGCCACACUGGAACUGAAACACGGUCCAGACUCCUACGGGAGGCAGCAGUGGGGAAUAUUGCGCAAUGGGGGAAACCCUGACGCAGCAAUGCCGCGUGAGUGAAGAAGGCUUUUGGGUCGUAAAGCUCUUUCGACAGGAAAGAAGCCGUCACGUAUAAAUAAUGCGUGGGGGUGACGGUACCUGAAGAAGAAGUACCGGCUAACUCCGUGCCAGCCGCCGCGGUAACAC
rnacentral:rRNA from 1 species